rnacentral:rRNA from 1 species
AUUGAACGCUGGCGGCAGGCCUAACACAUGCAAGUCGAGCGAGCGGCGGACGGGUGAGUAAUGUAUGGGGACUGCCCGAUAGAGGGGGAUAACUACUGGAAACGGUAGCUAAUACCGCAUACUAUCGGAUAACCCAUAUGGGAUUAGCUAGUAGGUGAGGUAAUGGCUCACCUAGGCGACGAUCCCUAGCUGGUCUGAGAGGACGACCAGCAAGUCUGGUAUUGAGACACGGCCCAGACGCCUACGGAGGCAGCAGUGGGGAAUUUUGGACAAUGGGGGAAGCCCUGAUCCAGACAUCCCGCGUGUAUGAUGAAGGCCUUCUGGUUGUAAAGUACUUUUGGCAGAGAAGCGGUAUCUGCAGAAUAAGCACCGGCUAACUACGUGCCAGCAGCCGCGGUAAUAC